rnacentral:lncRNA from 1 species
UCUAUAACUCGGUGGAAUAUGAGGUAUCUCCGAUCCCCACAAGCUUUAAUUCUUUGAAUCGAUUAUAAGAUUAAUCUUUGGUCUAGGGCUUAAUGAUACUUAAAGUGUAUUUUGCCAGGUCGAACUCAGGUCUUCUCCCACAAACUCAUCGUGUGUUGCAUAUUGAACUACACCCAUUGGAUUCAAUCCAAGUGGGAAAUUGAACGUCAUACAUUUUAUAUUUUAAUUAAAGGAUCCCAAACGACAAACCAUAGUUCUCAAAUGUACAGCAUCACAAUAAGAGUGUGGAAGGAGUGGGAUCGUUAAACAGAGUCUAAUGAAGUAGUGAAAGUGAAGAUACUAUAUCAUAAUGAUCAUGAAAAAAAUGCCAUAAAUUAGCUGAAACUAUAUUAAACCAGGAAAAAAGAUUGUGAUGCACCAUCAGCUAAACCUCGAGGCUACUUUUUCUUUUGGGUACAUAAAACAGACAACCUACUUUACAUUCGAAUAAUUGAUGCCGAGUGGUGUGAGAAUCAAAAUACAUAGGCACUGGCUUCCCGUGACAGUUCUAAU